GCUAGUUGGUGAGGUAAAGGCUUACCAAGGCGACGAUCAGUAGCUGGUCUGAGAGGACGACCAGCCACACUGGGACUGAGACACGGCCCAGACUCCUACGGGAGGCAGCAGUGGGGAAUUUUGGACAAUGGGGGAAACCCUGAUCCAGCCAUGCCGCGUGAGUGAAGAAGGCCUUCGGGUUGUAAAGCUCUUUCAGCCGGAACGAAACGGUCACGGUUAAUACCUGUGACUACUGACGGUACCGGAAGAAGAAGCACCGGCUAACUACGUGCCAGCAGCCGCGGUAAUACGUAGGGUGCAAGCGUUAAUCGGAAUUACUGGGCGUAAAGCGUGCGCAGGCGGUUUUGUAAGUCAGAUGUGAAAUCCCCGGGCUUAACCUGGGAACUGCGUUUGAAA
rnacentral:rRNA from 1 species